CCUGCUCCCCGCGGGCCGACUCCGCCGUCGGGGCCCCCGCGGGAGGGAGCCCGCUGCUCGCCUGGCUCCCGCAAGCCGCAGCCGCCGCCGAGCGACGGCCGCUGCCCACGCGCGGUGCCCUGCGUUUGCCCGGGCCGCCGCGGUCUGCCGUAUAUUUAGCAUCCGAGGAUGCCAGUGAGUCAUUUUUCCACCCGGCUGAGUUCUGCUGAAGGUACAGGUGGUUUUGGUUGGUUGUGGGUGUGCGUGCGAGAAAGGACGAUGUCGAAAGAGAAACCCGCGCCAGCUUCCCCCCCACACAGUAAUACUCUCCGUAUAAACAAUUUUAUUUGGUGGCACGUUGAGUGUUUGCUCUUUCAUGUGGAUGUUGCUACUAUGUAAAGGAACAGCGGGAUUUCAUGCCUCAUUGCCCUACCGGGACAUCCUUUCCGUGCCCGUGUUUGCAGUGUUACUAAAAACUUCGCUGCUUCUUAGACACAACAGAAGCGAGAGCUCGCAGGGAAGACAAAGGGAGUUCCCGGGGACACUUUUCCCACAAUGGACCGCUUGAAGGUAUCAGACAAAAAAAAAAGAAAAAAAAAGAAAAGAAAAAAGAAAGCUGAAAAAGGUAUUAGGGCCUUUGGGGAGAAAUGGAAUAGCAGGGAGGGAAGCAUGCGGUGUCCCAGUUCAGUUGAAGCCGCGCUUUAGAAAUACGGGAGCAGACUCAGCUUUUUUGCUGUUCGGGCUGAAGUUCUCUGGUUAAAAAUAAAUACAUAAAUAAAGGCAAACGCCUCCCUUUCUUCGUGCUCUGUAACGGCACGGAAGGACCCGCCGGGCCGGGCCGCGCUGCGGCGGCCCCGGGAGCGGCCGGGGGGGAAAUGCCCCGCCGAAGGAGUCGCCUUCCUGAGGGGCGAGAUUUAGAAAAAGAGAUAAGACUUUCUCGUUGAGAGGAAAGCUCUAUAUCACUGAAGCUCUGAGUAGUUUGUCAGACCAAUCAUCAGUGACUUUAAAAGUGCUCACCAACCUUUGUGGUGCAAGACCUGUAAAGUGUGUACAGAUUGAAGCCUUUCCAGAAUAUUAAAUGCUUUCUCUUGCUUGCAUCCACAGCAUUUCAGGACAAGAAAUUCCACAGGUGAUUGUAGAAGCACCUCCUUUUUUUUGCUUUGAAUAUGUCUUCUUCAACUGGAAGAGACAGUGAGAAACUGAUCCCCAUUCGGGCUCUCCAUGGCCUCUCCAUGUACUCCAGUCAGGGGACUGGACAAUCUCCAUCUGUGAGACCAGCCAGGAAACUGCUCUUCUAGCAGCAAGGAUUUUUAGCACAGCUUAAAGCUGAGACACAGAGCGAUUAAGGAAAUGGAGGACCAAGCAUAUUGACUCCCACUCCUGAUUUAUACACAUCACCUCUGGUGAGAUGAAAACACACUCAUGGAUUUCAGAAACAGAAAGGCUUACCGUGAUUACAGAGGCAUAGAAAGAGAUGCCCUGGGAUACAGUGCUGUUUCACAUUUAGUCACAUAGGCUGCAGGUCAUCAGAUUUGCUCACUAACUGUGAUGGAAAAAUCUUCAGAACAAAGUCUUCUCUUUGGAUGACUGGGCCAAAUACACAGAGUAUUUACACAGUCUGAUAUCCUGCAGCAAAUGCAAUUAUGGUCUGUCUGAUAAUCUGAUGUGUUUCUGAUAGACAUGCAUAAAUGUACAGACUACAUGGGAAGCUUUCUAUGGGAUUGCUUGACACAUUUUUGGGUCUUUUCCUUGGAUGAAAUGGAUUUCUAAAAUGACUUGCACUGGUAACAGCUGAAAAUUAUAAUAAUCUCUUUCAUCUUUGACAUCACCGAAAAACACAUGGCUAUUCUCUGUUGCAAAAUCCUGAUGGUCUUUGUCAGUUGUUUGAAACUUCUGCAUGUAUCUUCCUUACCCAUCCAUGGAGCAUCUAAUUUCAUCUGUAUCUCAUAUAUAGUUAUAUUAUGCAAGCUGUUGGAUGACACUUUAUAUUUGUUCAGCACCACUAUGCCUUAAACUCCACUUGAGUCGUGGCAAAGUUUGGGCCAUGCUUGGAAAAACAGUGUCAGAAGAAAUCUGGAUGAAGUUCAGACCUCUCAUGUUUCAAAUGGCAUUUGCCUGCAAGACAGACAAUAAAUUGUGACAAAAAGAUCAUCUUUUUGGUGCUUAGAAAUUUAAACAAGAUAUGACAGAUAAAAAGAAGCAUUAAAAACAUAAGGUUAUAGUUGCACUUGUAUGUGAGGAGUAAGGCACACACCAAUUCUUGCAGCAGAAAUGCAAAUCUGAUUUUUUUGUCUCACAGAUAAGUGUGUGCAGAACAUUUAGGAAUGAUUAAGGAUGGAGUCUCUUAUGAACACCAGUCUCCUGGCUGCAUAGAGAGACCUGCUGGUAGUUUCUUAUAAUGAAGAGAGCCUCAAAGAGUUUCUGUCUUCAAAAUUCCGGGAUUAAGAAAUAAGAAUGUAAAAGCUAUGAAUGGUGAAGAAACUAAUGGCUUUCUUAUUCCAUUCAUUUACAAACCAUCUGUGGACUACCUAUUGUCUGAAACUGGCCUAUGGAACCAUAUCAUCAGUGUCAUGUUUUGAAUUAAAAGCUUGAUGAAAAGAGUGCCUGAUGGUCUGCAGGUUGGCAGUGAUCCACAGCUGCCUAGAUUUUGAAUCCACUCAUUGAUUCAACAUAGAUUUUUACAUGUCACACAUGGGGAUAGACAUCAAAUUGUCUUCUAAUAAUGCCUUAAUUGUGGCUAUAUGUAGCUGCAACAUGUAGCUUGUUCUUUCUUCCAUUUUUUUCCCCCAAUAUUCUAACUUAGGAAAGCUAGAUGAAGGUUACCAUACAUUUCUAAUGGAUAAAGACAAGAAUGUUCUUUUUUUCUCUGGAAGCAUUAAGUUAGAACUUGAAGGCUGCCAACAUAGCUACUAAGUGCUUUUAAAUAUCACUGUUGCCAUAAUGGAGAAAUUGGGUCACGUCCCUGAGCUAUGUUGUGAAGACUGAACAAACUUAACUGUUUUUAUGAGCUCUGGGUUUCCUCCACAGAAAUAUAAGAUUUAGUUCCGGCUUUGUGAUCCCUGUGAUCACUGUAAUGUUAUGGCUCACAACCAAACCAGAAAUAAUAGGGCUGCCAAGGAACAGAACUGAAGAAAAUGUUUUCAGGUUUGACUGGGACUUCAGCAUCUGUCCUCAGACUGUGGGGCUGCCCUUUAAGGAUUACUAUAAUGUUACUAUCAGUAAACUACAUGCAACCCCAUGGCCAGAGGCUUUAGGGAGGAAAAGCUAUCUACGCCCUCUAUUGAAGAAAAGGGUAAAAUGCUGUCACACAAAGCUUCAUUUGCUAAAGUCAUCUACCCACAAUUACCCUGGAGAAAUACAGGAGUUAGUUUAUUAUAGCUGCACUUGGACUUUGGGAGUUUAAUAGAGGUGUUAUCUUGUAGCAAAGACUUCAUUUCCAUGUAGUCAAGACUUUCUGCUCAAGAUUGCUGAGGAGUCUUGCUCUUGUCUAAGCAAACUCUACCAUAAGAACUAGAGAUCAACCUGCCAAGAGAAAUAUGGGCUAUGGCACCACGUUGGCCUGGUCCCAAAACAGCUGGUAUGGCUGCGGGACAGUCUUCACCACUAGAGAGAAGGGAAUUAGAGAGGUGCCUACCAAAGGCUUUAGAAGGAUGUGAGAGGGGUACUCUAUUUACCUUAAACAUUGUAUUUCUGUUCCCCCCCCCCCCCAACAUUCAUGAUUGUAUUCCCCAUCCUCUUCUAAAGACCUUGUUUCUACACAGUCUUAGAGAACUUUUGAAUGUGGGUGGUAAUGUGGGUGAAUGCUACUAGGGAAGGAACACUGAAUUUCCCCAGAUUUCUAUAUUAGUCUUGAGCCAAUCCAAAUGCUUAUUGCAACCCUCUUACCCUCUUACCCCACAGACUCUAUCUUCUAAAAGAUAAAUGGCACCCAGAGGGUGAUCAGCCUCCGACUGGUAGCGGUGCAGGUCCCAGGGGCCGGUGCAGAGCUGUUGGAGGUGGGAAUGCACAGCAUCAUGCAGCUUCUCCAGUGAUGUGACAGGUCAGGAUAAAAAGGAGUCCCCUACUCCCCUUACGGCAUAUACAGAGCUCACAGGUCUUACAGGGACUGUAAGGCACAGAGGGAGUGUUUGGCCCCAGGACAGCAAGCAAAGAGCUGAACCUAAGCCUCCAUCUCUCAGGCGGCUCAUUCCCUUCCCACACUGUUCAGUGCGAUGCAUUUCCAAGACAGCUUCCCAGGGUUUAUCUCGGGGACUGGCAAUACCAGCCUUAGGACAGUGUUUCCUCCUUCAAAGUCAUCUUCUGCUGUUUGGGUGAAACUUCACAAACUAUCUAAAGACCAAAAGUGGAAAUAGUCAACAACUCAGAAAAUGUGCAGAUUCUCUUUUUUCUCCCCAUUUCCUUCCUCCCCUGUCAGCUUAGAUGAGACCGGCUGACUGCUUUCUAGUGCCUUCAUGCAGUGAGAGUGCUCUCUGUGCCACAGUAAACUUUGUCUCUGUUAAAUCAACCCUAGAGGCUUAAAAUACACUUCUAAAGGCCUUUUUGUCUGACUGGUGCAAUGUCCUGUAUCCCUGGUGCUGAUCACAUUAUGUCAGUUUUACUUGCCACUUUUCAGCUAUCUUUAUGCGUUUUAUUUCUGAAGACCUCUGUCAACGAUCUAGUUGCACUGCUGCUUCCCUAUCAGAACUGAGUCACAGCUGGGGAAAUACAUUUUAAAACUAUUACUAAUCUCUAUUUAAACCCAUAAGUUUCCGUAGUACUUGCAGAAGUGAACUGGAAGAGUCUAGUCAUUUUAGUGAAGAACUUGCAGAUUCUACCAGAGGUUCAAUUGUGCAGGAAGCACAGCUAACUGGAUAUAAAUAUACAUUACCACUGUAAGCACUGUAUUUGUCUAUCAACGUACAGGACAUUGGAAGGGUUUAUCUGCAAUGUAAAACUAUGGACUACUUCCAUGACAGGAUGAUAAAGUAUGGCUUCUCUUAAAUUAUAUAAAAGAUAUAGAUAUAAAAUUAUAUACAGACACACAUCUAUGUAUGUCUUGAUAUAUCUGUUCUUAACGACCACUUUCUGUGAGAGAAAAUAAAAGC